rnacentral:rRNA from 1 species
UACGUAGGGUGCAAGCGUUGUCCGGAAUUAUUGGGCGUAAAGAGCUCGUAGGCGGUUUGUCGCGUCUGCUGUGAAAACUCAGGGCUUAACCCUGAGCUUGCAGUGGGUACGGGCAGACUAGAGGUGUGGUAGGGGAGACGUGGAAAUUCCUGGUGUUAGCGGUGGAAUGCGCAGAUAUCAGGAGGAACACCGAUGGCGAAGGCAGGUCUCUGGGC